rnacentral:tRNA from 1 species
GGAGAGGUGCCCGGAGCGGUUUAUCGGGGGCCCGGGGAAACCCGGGCCGGGUUCAACAGAACCCACGCAGGUUCAAAUCCUGCCCUCUCCG